AUUGAACGCUGGCGGCAGGCUUAACACAUGCAAGUCGAGCGAGCGGCGGACGGGUGAGUAAUGUCUGGGAAACUGCCUGACGGAGGGGGAUAACUACUGGAAACGGUAGCUAAUACCGCAUACCAUCAGAUGUGCCCCGAUGGGAUUAGCUAGUAGGUGGGGUAAUGGCUCACCAAGGCGACGAUCCCUAGCUGGUCUGAGAGGAUGACCAGCCACACUGGGACUGAGACACGGACCAGACUCCUACGGGAGGCAGCAGUGGGGAAUAUUGCGCAAUGGACGAAAGCCUGAUGCAGCCAGGCCGCGUGUGUGAAGAAGGCCUUCGGGUUGUAAAGCACUUUCAGCGAGGAGGCGGUACUCGCAGAGGAAGCACCGGCUAACUCCGUGCCAGCAGCCGCGGUAAUUC
rnacentral:rRNA from 1 species